GAUGAACGCUGGCGGCGUGCUUAACACAUGCCAGUCGAGCGAGAAGUUUUUAAAAGUUUCUUCGGAUGAAAUGUCAAAUGGGAAGCGGCGAAGUGGGUAGUAACGCCUAGGCAACCGGCCCCAUACAAAGGGAUAGCAUUAGGAAACGAAUAUUAAUACCUUAUGAUAGUUAACUAGGGCAUGCUUGGUAGGUCAAAGAUGUAUCGGUAGGGGAUGGGCCGGCGUCUGAGUAGCUAGUUGGUGAGGUAACGGCUCACGAAGGCGAGGAUCAGUAGCCGAACAGGGAGAGCGAACGCCUAGGUUCGAACGGAGGCACGAGACAAACACCUGCGGGAGGAGGCAGGAAGGUAUAUCGAACAAUGGGGGAAAGCCUGAUGCACCAACGGCGCGUGAAGGAUGAAGGCCUGUGGGAAGCAGAGUUCUGUUCUAGCUGAGGAAAACUGACGGUAACCUAGGAGAAAGCACCGGCUAACUACGUG
rnacentral:rRNA from 1 species